GAUUUCGUAGCGCAGCUGGUGGAGCGCCUGGGUAUGCUAUUUCUGAUGCUCGUUCGUAUCCAGCCGAAAGCA